UACUUUGAAGAGAGAGUAAACAGUACGUGAAACCGCAUAGAGGUAAACGGGUGGCGUCAAGCUGCAAGCCCAGAGGAUUCAGUCGGUCAGGAUGUUGUGUAUGCGCCUGGCGCAUCUAUCAGUCGGUGUUAGAUGAGGGGCAGUCCACCGGGAAACGGUGGGCCCAGCCGCAAGGUUGGGAUUUGUGUACCGAAUGGAUGCCGGAGCAAGCUGCCCGUCUGUUGGACUGUCUGGCCGAUGCACUUCCUCUGUUAAGGUGAACACCACGACCGGUGGUACUGCCAGUCUGUUGUGGCCAAGUUGUGUUCAGUCGGCAGCAAUGUCGGCUGGGCGCAAUCACAGGCAAAGUCAGUGAACGGUGUUCAGGCGUUCGCGCUUGUUCAUGUUAUCGGGCACUGCUUGUCAACGGGUCGGUCUGUCGAUUGUUGUAGUCGUCGAUGGCAUGAUCUGGUGGGCCAUGAUGGUAAACAUAACUGUGCAGGGCACCGGGGUUCUCGGUCUCUAAUCCGGCUCGCGUACACACUAUAAGUGGUGCGGAGUGUCGUUGCGGCCUGCCUGUGGCUGGGUCUGAUUGUCGUGUCGCCUGCGCAAAGUAGGCCCGGCAGUGGCCUGGCUCUGGAUGGAGUCGUGGAUGGCGCUUCCGUGUGUGAGCUCGGUGUGGACCAAACAGUCAGUGGUGUAGUGGUAGACGAGCUACCCGACCCGUCUUGAAACACGGACCAG
rnacentral:rRNA from 1 species